GGAAGCUCUUUUCGGCCGGUGCCGGGCCCGGUCUUCAAAACCGGCGGAUGGCCCAAUACGCCAUCGGUGGGUUCGACCCCCACGAGCUUCCGCCA
rnacentral:tRNA from 1 species